UACGUAGGGGGCAAGCGUUGUCCGGAAUCAUUGGGCGUAAAGCGCGCGUAGGCGGCCCGGUAAGUCCGCUGUAAAAGUCCAGGGCUCAACCCUGGGAUGCCGGUGGAUACUGUCGGGCUCGAGUCCGGAAGAGGCGAGUGGAAUUCCUGGUGUAGCGGUGAAAUGCGCAGAUAUCAGGAGGAACACCGGUGGCGAAGGCGGAUCUCUGGGCCGUAACUGACGCUGAGGAGCGAAAGCAUGGGGAGCGAACAGG
rnacentral:rRNA from 1 species